rnacentral:tRNA from 1 species
UCCCUGGUGGUCCAGUGGCUAAGGCUCUGCACUCCAAUGCAGGGGGCCCGGGUUCAAUCCCUGGUCAGGAAA